CCCGGCGGCUCCGGCCCUGCCUCCCCGGGGAGGCGGCGGCGGCAUGGCCCGGGCCGGCGGGGCGGCGGGGCCGCGGCGGCGGGUGCUGGUGCUGAUGGUGCUGGUGGCCGCGGCGGGGCGGCGGGGCCGGGGCGCGGGGCGGCGGCGGGGAGGCGGCCCCCCCGGACCUUCGGGCCCCCCCGGGCCCCCGCCGCCCCCCGGGCCCCCCUCCCGCCCGCUCCUGCUGCUGCUGCCGCUGCCGCUGCCGCCGCCGCCGCUGCCGCCGCCCCGCGCCGCGCCCGCCGCUGCCGCCCGCCCGGAGGCGCUGCCCCGGGGGGGGCUGCCCAUGAAGGAAGAGCCGCUGACCGCCGGGCUGCCCUCCGUCCGCUGGCUGCAGGGCACCGGCAUCCUGGACGCCAGCACGGCAGCGCAGAGCGGGGUGGGCCUGGCCCGAGCCCACUUUGAGAAGCAGCCCCCCUCCAACCUGCGAAAAUCCAACUUCUUCCACUUCGUCCUGGCCAUGUACGACCGGCAGGGCCAGCCCGUGGAGAUCGAGCGCACCUCCUUCAUCGACUUCGUGGAGAAGGAGCGGGAGCAGAACGGCGAGAAAACCAACAACGGGAUCCACUACCGGCUCCAGCUGCUGUACAGCAACGGGCUUCGGACCGAGCAGGACCUCUACGUCCGCCUCAUCGACUCCAUGUCCAAGCAGGCCAUCAUCUACGAGGGGCAGGACAAGAACCCCGAGAUGUGCCGCGUCCUCCUCACCCACGAGAUCAUGUGCAGCCGCUGCUGCGACAAGAAGAGCUGCGGGAACCGCAACGAGACCCCCUCCGACCCCGUCAUCAUCGACAGGUUUUUCCUCAAGUUUUUCCUCAAAUGCAACCAAAACUGCCUGAAGAACGCGGGGAACCCCCGGGAUAUGAGGCGCUUCCAGGUGGUCGUGUCGACGACGGUGAACGUGGACGGCCACGUCCUGGCCGUGUCCGACAACAUGUUCGUCCACAACAACUCCAAGCACGGGCGGCGGGCACGGCGCCUCGACCCCUCCGAAGCCUCGCGCCCCCGGCCCCGACCCCGGCGCCCCCCGCUCCCGCCCCGCGCGCCCCCACACUCACUGCUGCCCUGUCUCUCCCCUCCCGCCCGAAGCAGCCACCCCCUGCAUCAAAGCCAUCAGCCCCAGCGAGGGCUGGACCACCGGAGGUGCCACCGUCAUCGUCAUCGGGGACAACUUCUUCGACGGGCUGCAGGUCGUCUUCGGCACCAUGCUGGUGUGGAGCGAGCUCAUCACGCCUCACGCCAUCCGGGUGCAGACCCCCCCGCGGCACAUCCCCGGCGUGGUGGAGGUGACGCUCUCCUACAAGUCCAAGCAGUUUUGCAAGGGCGCCCCGGGACGCUUCGUCUACACCGCGCUGAACGAGCCCACCAUCGACUACGGGUUCCAGCGGCUGCAGAAGGUCAUCCCCCGGCACCCCGGGGACCCCGAGCGCCUGCCCAAGGAGGUCCUGCUGAAGCGGGCGGCCGACCUGGUGGAGGCUCUCUACGGGAUGCCGCACAGCAACCAGGACAUCAUCCUGAAGCGAGCGGCAGACAUCGCCGAGGCGCUGUACAGCGUCCCCCGCAACCCCGGCCAGCUCUCCUCGCUGGCCGGCACCCACGGCCCCGCCGGCAUGAUGGGGGUGAACUCCUUCGGCAGCCAGCUGGCCGUCAACAUCGGCGACUCGCCGCAGGGUGCCGAGCAAGGCUACUCCAGAAACACCGGCAGCGUCUCGCCGCGGGGCUACGUGCCCAGCUCCACGCCGCAGCAGAGCAGCUACGGCGGCACCACCGGCAUCAACGGCUACGGCGGCGGCACCAUGGCUGGCCUGGGGGUGCCCGGUUCCCCCAGCUUCCUCAACGGCUCCACCGCCAACUCCCCCUAUGCCAUCAUGCCCGCCAGCCCCCCGCUCGGCGCCUCCUCCAUCACCCUCCCGUCGGGCACCAACGCCUCCACCCCCACCGGGGUCUUCUCCUUCUCCCCCGUCAACAUGAUCUCGGCGGUGAAGCAGAAAAGCGCCUUCGCCCCCGUGGUACGGCCGCAGACCUCCCCGCCGCCCGCCUGCGCCAGCACCAGCGGCAGCAGCCUGCAAGACCCGGCUUUUGAGGACUCGGACAAGUUCCACACGCCCGCGCGGCCGCUCCAGGGACUGGCCUAUUCCUAAGCACACCGUGCCCGGCCGCCUCGUGCCGCCCACGUGAGCCAGGACGGCGCCGGAGCCGCAACGCGGAGCGGGACUGAGCGCGGCCUCACAGCCCAGCAGCGCCGGCCCCUCCGACCCGCUCCCGGGGGCUCCCCUGGGGAUCGGGGCGUGCAGGGCUGCGGGACCCCCCCACCCCGCUGCCCUGCGGCCACCCCAGCCCGGCCCCCUCGCAGGGGGGUGACCCUGGCCAGGGCCAGCACCGGCACGGCUCGGCUCGGCACGGCUCGGUGGGCAGCCCCUCCCGGGGCCAGAGAGGGGCCUUGGGGGGAGCCCCCGGGAGUGACCCAAACGCUCUGGGUUUAGCCUCAGAAAGACACCGAGGGACCCGCGGGGGUGCGGGGUGGCAGCGGCGGAAGCCACGGGCAGGA